AAGUGCAGGGAUUUCUGUGCAAGUUGUCUCUUCAGCCUCUCUCAAGCUAAGGUCAUACCACGAAGCAACAAAAAGAUUUUCUUGAGCAAAGGAAUUGCUCCUUGUUAGGUACCAUAAACACACCAGCCUCCAAUCACCGCCUCCUUCAUUUUUAUUUUUAUUUUGCAAAACACAACUGUUCCCUUUGCA